AUGUUGAAACACUAGUUCUCAUAUGAUCAGCAAAGUUAAGCAACUUUGAGCCUGGUCAGUACCUAGAUGGGUGACCACUUGGGAAUACCAGAUACUGU